UCUAGUGUAAUAGGAUAGAUUAAUCAAUUAAUUAAAAUUGAAAGAUUAUUAAAGGGGUUGUAUACACCCUAUUUUCCUUCCUUCCUUGUUUGGGUCAUAUCGACGUAUUCUAUAGCGCCGGCGCUAAUCGUGAGAAGGAAGGGAGGGUGGAGAGUUGGGGAGAUGGAGAUGGGUGAAGAAAAAGGGGGUAGUUGGAGGGAUGUGUAAGAGACGACGAUACGAGUUUAUUCUAUCAUUCGAGGGACGCUAUCGCAGUGCGAGAAUGGAUCGCGAAGAUGCGACGCUAUGCGUCAAGAAAUAUCGACGAAACCAUCGUAGAAAUAUCGAACAUUGAAAAGAUCAACAAAACAACGGACAGAAAUUAAAAUAAACAUAAUAUAUUAAGUGUUAAGAUCGUGUUGAGAAAAGUGCUACGUUAGAUUUCUAAUGAAUGUGCUAAUAAAAAAGUGAUAUUUCUAAUGUGAACACAAGCAUCUUUCUUCGAAAAAUCUUGUAUACAAAAAUUAAAGGAAAUUUCUACAAGAAAUAUAAAUCGUAAUAUCCGAUUUACUCUGAAUGGUAAGAAGAAUGUUUUUUAUUUGAUAUAAAAAAAGAAGAAAGAGAAGAAUAUUUAGCAGAGAAUCUUGAUAAUAUAUGUGAAGAGAGAAGAAUGUGCAAAACGUCGAUAUUGAGAAUAUAAA
rnacentral:lncRNA from 1 species